rnacentral:rRNA from 1 species
AUUGAACGCUGGCGGCAUGCCUUACACAUGCAAGUCGAACGGUAACUGGCCUUCGGGUGCCGGCGGGGUGCGAACGGGGUGGGAAUACGCCUGUAGGUGCCCGAUCGUGGGGGAUAACGUGUCCAAAGCUCUGCUAAUACCUCAGACGAUCUGCUGAUGAAAGCUGGGGACGGCACGGCUUUGCUCGGACGGUGCGGCCGGGGGCAGACUAUGCAGGUGGCGGGACAAAAGCUUGCCAAGCCGACGAUCUGUAGCCGGUAUGAGAGGAUGACGAGCCACACUGGCAGUGAGGCACGGCCCAGACUCCUACGGGAGGCCGCGGUGGAGAAUUUUGGGCAAUGGGCGAAAGCCUGAUCCAGCCAAACCGCGUGAAGGAUGAAGGCCCUCGGGUUCUAAAAUGAUUAUGUACGGAACGAAAAGCAUUCUUUUAAUCCAGGAGGAUCAUGACGGUACCGUAAGAAUAAGCACCGGCUAACUACGUG